rnacentral:rRNA from 1 species
GCAGUCGACGAUGAAGCCUUUCGGGGUGGAUUAGUGGCGAACGGGUGAGUAACACGUGGGCAAUCUGCCCUUCACUCUGGGACAAGCCCUGGAAACGGGGUCUAAUACCGGAUAACACUCUGUUCCGCAUGGGACGGGGUUGAAAGCUCCGGCGGUGAAGGAUGAGCCCGCGGCCUAUCAGCUUGUUGGUGGGGUAAUGGCCUACCAAGGCGACGACGGGUAGCCGGCCUGAGAGGGCGACCGGCCACACUGGGACUGAGACACGGCCCAGACUCCUACGGGAGGCAGCAGUGGGGAAUAUUGCACAAUGGGCGAAAGCCUGAUGCAGCGACGCCGCGUGAGGGAUGACGGCCUUCGGGUUGUAAACCUCUUUCAGCAGGGAAGAAGCGCAAGUGACGGUACCUGCAGAAGAAGCGCCGGCUAACUACGUGCCAGCAGCCGCGGUAAUACGUAGGGCGCAAGCGUUGUCCGGAAUUAUUGGGCGUAAAGAGCUCGUAGGCGGCUUGUCACGUCGGAUGUGAAAGCCCGGGGCUUAACCCCGGGUCUGCAUUCGAUACGGGCUAGCUAGAGUGUGGUAGGGGAGAUCGGAAUUCCUGGUGUAGCGGUGAAAUGCGCAGAUAUCAGGAGGAACACCGGUGGCGAAGGCGGAUCUCUGGGCCAUUACUGACGCUGAGGAGCGAAAGCGUGGGGAGCGAACAGGAUU